CCGUUUCAGCGGGUACCUUUUUUCAGGGUUGCUUUUUCACCGGGUCUCCUCGCCAUUGUAGUUUUUUUAUUUUAUUUUAUAUUUUUGCUUAAUGAUUGCCACCUGAGGUAGCCUCUGUGGCCCAUCUUCGUCAGUUUCAGAGUGUGGAUUUCUCCGUGCUGCUUUUUCCCCAGGUCUCCACGCCCUUGUGUGUUUCUUUUGCUUAACGAUUGCCACCUGAGCUAGUCUCUGUUGCCCAUCUUUGUCAGUUUCAGAGGGUAGAUUUCUCAGUCUUGCUCUUUCCCAAGUUCUGCACGCCCUUGUGUGUGUGUGUGUGUGUGUGUGUUUUUUUUUUUUUUUUGCUCAAAUAUUGAACCAAAGCUAGCAUCUGUUGCCCAUCUUCGGCAGUUUCAGAGGGUAGAAUUCUCAGUGUUGCUUUUUCCCCAGGUCUCCACGCCCUUGUGUUUCCCUUUUGCUUAAAGAUUGCCACCUGAGCUAGCCUCUGUUGCCCAUCGUCGUCAGUUUCAGAGGGUACAUUUCUCAGUGCUGCUUUUUCCCCAGGUCUCCACGCCCUUGUGUGUUUCUUUUGCUUAACGAUUGCCACCUGAGCUAGCCUUUGUUGCGCUUCUUUCUCAGUUUCUGAGGGUGGAUUUCUCCGUGUUGCUUUUUCCCCAGGUCUCCACGCACUUCCUUUUAUUUUUCCUUAAAAAUUGCCACCUGAGCUAGCCCGUGUUGCCCAUGUUCGUCAGUUUGAGAGGGUGGAUUUCUCAGUGUUGCUUUUUCCCCAGGUCUCCACGCACUUCCUUUUUAUUUUUCCUUAAAAAUUGCCACCUGAGCUAGCCCGUGUUGCCCAUGUUUCGUCAGUUUGAGAGGGUGGAUUUCUCAGUGUUGCUUUUUCCCCAGGUCUCCACGCCCUUGUGUGUUUCUUUUGCUUAACGAUUGCCACCUGAGCUAGCCUCUGUGGCCCAUCUUCGUCAGUUUCAGAGGGUAGAUUUCUCAGUGCUGCUUUUUGCCCAGGUCUCCACGCCCCCUGUGUGUUUCUUUUGCUUAACGAUUGCCACCUGAGCUAGCCUCUGUUGCCCAUGUUCGUCAGUUUCAGAGGGUGGAUUUCUCCGUGCUGCUUUUUACCCGGGUCUCCACGCCCUUGUGUCUUUCUUUUCUGCUUAAAGGUUGCAACCUGAGCUAGGGUCUGUUGCCCAUGUUCCUCAGUUUCAGAGGGUGGAUUUCUCCGUGCUGCUUUUUACCCGGGUCUCCACGCCCUUGUGUGUUUCUUUUGCUUA
rnacentral:lncRNA from 1 species